rnacentral:rRNA from 1 species
GAUGAACGCUGGCGGCGUGCCUAAUACAUGCAAGUCGAGCGAAGCGGGGACGGGUGAGUAACACGUGGAUAACCUCCUAUAAGACUGGGACAAAUUCGGGAAACCGUUGCUAAACCGGAUACUUAUACAUGGAUCCGCGCUGCAUUAGCUAGUUGGUAAGGUAACGGCUUACAAAGGCAACGAUGCAUAGCCGACCUGAGAGGGGGAUCGGCCAAACUGGAACUGAGACACGGUCCAGACUCCUACGGGAGGCAGCAGUAGGGAAUCUUCGGCAAUGGGCGAAAGCCUGACGGAGCAACGCCGCGUGAGUGAAGAAGGUCUUCGGAUCGUAAAGCUCUGUUAUUAGGGAAGCGGUACCUAAUCAGAAAGCCACGGCUAACUACGUGCCAGCAGCCGCGGUAAUAC